UCCGGCGAGUUCGUGCACGCUGUUUGCUUGAGAGCUUCCUGCGUUUUCUGCGUUCUUUGUGUGCUUCGCUGUGACAUCUUUGGAAUAUUCCUGCGUGUUGCUCGCUUUUUAUGGGCUUGUUGCCUCGAAGAUCGCCAUGAUCGCCUCCGACUCAGCGACAUCAAGGAUUCAAAAUGAGCUGGGAGACACCCAAGCUGGAAUGCUAAGGUUCACAUAGGUUGGAGGAGUGCACAUUGAGAAGGUUAUCCUGGCACAGCUUACCAUAGCCUGCCAUGGUGGACCAGGAAAGUUUGCAAGGGCGUUGCUUCACCAUGUGUUCACAGAGGAGGAGCUCAUGGGCCAUUUGGGCUUUGGAAAUAACACCAAGUGGGAAAAGAGGCUCUUGACCCCAACAGGGUCAGUGCUGUUAUAGGCAAGUACCAUAUAUCCUUUCCGGUUGCAUUUUUACAUUCACAUUUUUUUUAAGUUAGCAACUUGCCAUUGGCUAACAAACUACAUUCAAGUAGCCCGUGUGUGCAGUUGUGUGCUACAAUAGCCUACCAUUUGGAAUGACUGAUCUUAGGAUCUUAAGUGCCUAAUGCCGCCAUACUCAAGUGCUUCUAAAAUUUAAA